GGGGGUGAACUGGAUUCGACGGCGAUGACCGAUGUGUCGGAAGCGAGCCGAGAUCACCGGAGUCUCGUAAAACACCGGUACCCAACUAUAAGUGCCAAGCCUAACCUUGCACUGGCUGCCUAAGUAAGACAGCCCGUCCGCCCGAGGGGUCCUGCUACCUCGGUCCGGGCGUCGUUCAGCAGGAUGGAUCCCCGGGGUUCCCGGACCGGCGGAUCGAGAUCAAUUCGGGAUUAGGGGGGCCGGUCGCUUGCCGACGGAGUCCGGCCUUCUGAAGCUUUCCCGUUGGCUGCGCUCGGAGAAGCCGCCACAAACGUAUCGACGGACCGGGGUUCGAUUCCCCGCACCUCCACCC
rnacentral:tmRNA from 1 species